UACAGAGGGUGCGAGCGUUGUUCGGAAUUAUUGGGCGUAAAGCGCUUGUAGGCGGCACGUCAAGUCGCGUGUGAAAUCCCCAGGCUUAACCUGGGAAGUGCGCGCGAAACUGACGAGCUUGAGUGCCGGAGAGGGUCGCGGAAUUCCCGGUGUAGAGGUGAAAUUCGUAGAUAUCGGGAGGAACACCGAUGGCGAAGGCAGGUCUCUGGGCAUUAACUGACGCUGAGGAGCGAAAGCAUGGGGAGCGAACAGG
rnacentral:rRNA from 1 species